UACGUAGGGGGCAAGCGUUGUCCGGAUUUAUUGGGCGUAAAGCGCGUGUAGGCGGUUAGGUAGGUCCGUUCUGAAAACUCGAGGCUCAACCUCGAGACGCCGAUGGAAACCAUCUGACUAGAGUCCGGAAGAGGAGAGUGGAAUUCCUGGUGUAGCGGUGAAAUGCGCAGAUAUCAGGAAGAACACCAAUAGCGAAGGCAGCUCGCUGGGACGUUACUGACACUGAGGCGCGAAAGCGUGGGGAGCGAACAGG
rnacentral:rRNA from 1 species